CCACCACCAAAGCAUUCUCUGGUGUUGAAGGCCCUGCAAAGCAGCAUCGCGGUGGCGGAGCGUCGUUUGCGACGCCCAACACACAAAACAAGCGGUGAGUGCUUUGGGGUGGGGUGACUGCGUACCUUUUGUAUAAUGGGUCAGCGACUUAUAUUCUGUAGCAAGGUUAACCGAAUAGGGGAGCCGGAGGGAAACCGAGUCUUAACCGGGCGUUAAGUUGCAGGGUAUAGACCCGAAACCCGGUGAUCUAGCCAUGGGCAGGUUGAAGGUUGGGUAACACUAACUGGAGGACCGAACCGACUAAUGUUGAAAAAUUAGCGGAUGACCUGUGGCUGGGGGUGAAAGGCCAAUCAAACCGGGAGAUAGCUGGUUCUCCCCGAAAGCUAUUUAGGUAGCGCCUCGUGAAUUCAUCUCCGGGGGUAGAGCACUGUUUCGGCUAGGGGGCCAUCCCGGCUUACCAACCCGAUGCAAACUGCGAAUACCGGAGAAUGUUAUCACGGGAGACACACGGCGGGUGCUAACGUCCGUCGUGAAGAGGGAAACAACCCAGACCGCCAGCUAAGGUCCCAAAGUCAUGGUUAAGUGGGAAACGAUGUGGGAAGGCCCAGACAGCCAGGAUGUUGGCUUAGAAGCAGCCAUCAUUUAAAGAAAGCGUAAUAGCUCACUGGUCGAGUCGGCCUGCGCGGAAGAUGUAACGGGGCUAAACCAU
rnacentral:rRNA from 1 species